AUGAUAUGUGUGCAUGAGUACCCUCUGUCUAUUGUUGAUCAUGCUGGAUUCCGAAAAUUUUGUGGUACUUUGCAACCAAUGUUCAAGGUGUCUAGAAAUACCAUUAGGCUGGACAUCAUAAAUAUGUUUGGUGUCCAAAAGAAUAUCAUGGUGAAGUACUUUGCAAAGUGUGAGAACCGAGUAGCCAUCACAACAGAUUUGUGGACGGCUGGCCAUCAAAAGAGGGGCUAUAUGGCUGUAACUGGACAUUAUGUUGAUGCUUCUUGGAACCUAAAGAGCUUCCUAAUGAGGUUUGUUUAUGUUCCAUGUCCACACAAUGCUGAGGUUAUAUGCGAAGCACUACAUGCAUGUCUUGUUGAGUGGCACCUUGAGAAGAAGAUAUCCACGGUGACCUUGGACAAUUGUACAUCAAAUGACAAGGCUAUGGAAAUUCUGCCAGAUAAGUUGGACACCUCUUCUCUUAUGUUGCAAGGAUCUUUGUUGCAUAUGCGUUGUGCUGCUCAUAUACUAAAUCUGAUUGUAAAAGAUGGACUGGAUGUCAUGGAGAAAGGGAUUGAGAGGGUACGAGAUAGUGUUGCAUUUUGGUCAACCACACCUAAAAGACAUGAGAAGUUUGAAAAGAUGGCACGCCUUUUGAACAAUGAAUACACGUGUAGAUUGGCUCUUGAUUGUAAAACUAGGUGGAAUUCGACCUACAUAAUGUUAAAAGGUGCAUUGCAAUACAAAGAUGUUUUUGAAAGACUUUCGAUACGUGAAAAGAAAUUUACUUGUCCAACUGGAGAAGAUUGGGUCUUUGCUAAGGAGGUUUGUGCUAGGCUGAAAGUGUUCUUUGAUGUCACAGAGUUGUUGUCGGGUACUUCAUAUGUUACAGCUAGUCUUUUCUUUCCGCAAAUAUGUGGCAUUCGGUUGGCAAUUCGUAAAUAG
rnacentral:rRNA from 1 species